rnacentral:rRNA from 1 species
UAGGGAAUCUUCCGCAAUGGACGAAAGUCUGACGGAGCAACGCCGCGUGAGUGAAGAAGGAUUUCGGUUCGUAAAACUCUGUUGUUAGGGAAGAAAAAAUGUAUAGUAACUAUAUACAAAAGAGACGGUACCUAACCAGAAAGCCACGGCUAACUACGUGCCAGCAGCCGCGGUAAUACGUAGGUGGCAAGCGUUGUCCGUAAUUAUUGGGCGUAAAGCGCGCGCAGGUGGUUUAGAAAGUCUGAUGUGAAAGCCAACGGCUCAACCGUGGAGGGUCAUUGGAAACUAAUAAACUUGAGUGCAGGAGAGAAAAGUGGAAUUCCUAGUGUAGCGGUGAAAUGCGUAGAGAUUAGGAGGAACACCGGUGGCGAAAGCGGCUUUUUGGCCUGCAACUGACACUGAGGCGCGAAAGCGUGGGGAGCAAACAGG